rnacentral:lncRNA from 1 species
AUUAUUUCCAUCAUCCAUUAGUUACUCACUACAAUAGUGUAUUGGUGAACAAUCUUUUAGGUUCUAAUUAACAAGGCAGUGAGGUGAUUGGCACCAAUCCAAUUGAUUAUAUUUAAUCCAAUCACUUAGUGAAUUAAAACAUACUUUUAAUUCACCUUCUUCUUUGACGACUACAUUUAAUCAUCUAGAAGAACUCACAAGCGAUGACUGACAUCUAACCAUAUAUCAUGGCUACCCAAGCUAAUGUAGAAGUUUGUUCGGAGAACCUAUUCAGUUGGAAUUACAAUGUAAUUCGAUCCUUCUCUAAAACAAUACUCACAAUCACAUUACUAGGGUAUGGAAAUAUUAUGUCAAACCCCUAAUGUGAUUAUUCCUUCUUAUAUGAUUCCUUUGAGUCGUGUAGGAACGCUUUCCUUUAUUACGCUCGAUACUUCGGCCGAAGAUUCCCGAAUCAUAUCUUAGAGUAUUCUUCCUCUCUUAUCGAGGAUUAGAGAUUCCUUGUUGCGCAUACACUUGCCUUCAUGACUAAGUGGCUUAACCCCAAUUAUGCCAUGGACACCCGCGAAUGGGGAGACUUUGACAUAAUCAAAGAUUAAGUACUUAACCACAAGACAACGACGAUGCCUCAGGUCAAAGGACUACUUACAUUAUUCCAACCAUUAGAGUUACUUGCUUGACAUGUGAGUAGACCUCCAUACAAGUACUCUCGUUCGAUUGUGUUCAGUGAACUCAUUCCCUUAAUGAGCACCUACAUACUUGUCUUAGUGUCACAACACGAAUGGGAUGAGACUUUCCAUCCUUCCAUUUGAAGCAGACACAGUAUGUACCGGUCUAAGCAUUGUCAGUAUCCCUCCGACAAUCCAAUGACCAGGAACCUUUUUGGACAUUUGGUUA